GCUACACAGCCAAACGUCAGCUGGCGCAUAGAAGCUCACUAACAGCAUCACGUUGUCACAUUAAAGCAUCAACAACAUAUCCUUAAAUUUUAAGGCUUGAAUUAUUGUAUCAAUAGAGAUAAAGUAAGUUUUUGAGUGAAACGUUAACUUUAAGUGAGGACUGAGUUUUCGUAACUUAAAUGCCUCGGAGGUUUUAGUUAUUGUGCUGUAGAACAGUAAACGUCAAUCGUACCAUUAAACUCAUGUUUACUGCGAUGGAAGGUGUUAUGGAUGAAUUAUAUGGACACAGAAGACAGUUUGGGAUCACGAGAAAUCAAAGCAAUUCUAUCGCGUGUUUGGGAGGAGUUUGCGGGGAGGGGGAUUGAGUUUUAGCGGAAACCAUUGGUUCGAUAACUAUAUAUAUACAGGCCACACUCGCAAGUAUUUACGUUACAACUUGUUUAUCAAUAAUAAUACUUCGGAGAUGAAGGAAAGCACUAUAUAAAUAUUUCCUAUCGAACAGGCACAACCGCUGGUGCUGUAGGAAAUAAAUAAUCAUGAUCUGCAUUUACAUGUACCUUUGUUUCUGUCAAAGGUUUGGCGAUUUUAAUCCUGUGUAAGAAGUUCCAAAAUCAGCUGGGAAAGUGCUUCGGAAUUUAUUUACUGCACUAGAUGGCAGAGCGACCCUGACAUUAUUGCCGAGAUAACCCCAGCACCAGCUCACUAACAGCAUCACGCUGUCACAUUAAAGCAUCAACACCAUGUUAAAUUUUAAGGCUUGAAUUAUUGUAUCAAUAGAGAUAAAGUAAGUUUUUGAGUGAAACGUUAACUUUAAGUGAGGACUGAGUUUUCGUAACUUAAAUGCCUCGGAGGUUUUAGUUAUUGUGCUGUAGAACAGUAAACGUCAAUCGUACCAUUAAACUCAUGUUUACUGCGA